rnacentral:rRNA from 2 species
AACGCGAAGAACCUUACCUGGGCUUGACAUACUGGUGAAAGCUGGUGGAAACACCGGCCCCUCUUCGGAGCGCCAGCACAGGUGCUGCAUGGCUGUCGUCAGCUCGUGUCGUGAGAUGUUGGGUUAAGUCCCGCAACGAGCGCAACCCUCGCUCCCAGUUGCCAGCGGUUCGGCCGGGGACUCUGGGGGGACUGCCGGCGUUAAGCCGGAGGAAGGUGGGGACGACGUCAAGUCAUCACGGCCCUUACGUCCAGGGCGACACACGUGCUACAAUGCCCGGUACAGCGCGUCGCCAACUCGCGAGAGGGAGCCAAUCGCUAAAAGCCGGGCUAAGUUCGGAUUGCAGUCUGCAACUCGACUGCAUGAAGCCGGAAUCGCUAGUAAUCGCGGAUCAGCCACGCCGCGGUGAAUACGUUCCCGGGCCUUGUA